rnacentral:rRNA from 1 species
AGGGCACCACCAGGAGUGGAGCCUGCGGCUUAAUUUGACUCAACACGGGAAAACUCACCCGGCCCGGACACCGUAAGGAUUGACAGACUGAGAGCUCUUUCUUAAUUCGGUGGGUGGUGGUGCAUGGCCGUUCUUAGUUGGUGGAGCGGUUUGUCUGGUUAAUUCCGAUAACGAACGAGACUCUGGCCUAUUAAAUAGACGAUAUAUCUAUCUAGUAUAUCGCGCUUCUUAGAGGGACAAGCGGCGUCCAGCCGCAUGAAAUAGAGCAAUAACAGGUCUGUGAUGCCCUUAGAUGUCCGGGGCUGCACGCGCGCUACACUGAAAGAAUCAGCGUGCGUUUUACCUAGUUCGGAAGAACCGGGUAACCCAAGUAAAUUCUUUCGUGCUUGGGAUAGGGAAUUGCAAUUAUUUCCCUUGAACGAGGAAUUCCCAGUAAAUGCGGGUCAUAAGCUCGCGUUGAUUACGUCCCUGCCCUUUGUACACACCGCCCGUCGCUACUACCGAUUGGAUGACUUAGUG